rnacentral:rRNA from 2 species
AUGCAUGUCUAAGUACGAACUCCUAGCACAGUGAAACCGCGAAUGGCUCAUUAAACCAGUUAAUAUUUCUUAGAUCGUCCGAUCCUACUUGGAUAACUGUGGUAAUUCUAGAGCUAAUACAUGCAACAAAGCCCCGACCGCUCGUCGGGAGGGGCGCUUUUAUUAGAUCAAAACCAGACGGGGGCUUGCCUCCGCUCGGAUUUGGUGACUCUGGGUAACUUACUGCGGAUCGCAUGGCCUCGCGCCGGCGACGUAUCUUUGAAGUGUCUGCCCUAUCAACUAUCGUAUGUGAGCGCCAUGCCCACAUAGGUUAUAACGGGUAACGGGGAAUCAGGGUUCGAUUCCGGAGAGGGAGCAUGAGAAACGGCUACCACA